rnacentral:rRNA from 1 species
CAGUCGCCGCGGUAAUACGGAGGGUGCAAGCGUUAAUCGGAAUUACUGGGCGUAAAGCGCACGCAGGCGGUCUGACAAGUCAGAUGUGAAAUCCCCGGGCUUAACCUGGGAACUGCAUUUGAAACUGUCAGGCUGGAGUCUUGUAGAGGGGGGUGGAAUUCCAGGUGUAGCGGUGAAAUGCGUAGAGAUCUGGAGGAAUACCGGUGGCGAAGGCGGCCCCCUGGACAAAGACUGACGCUCAGGUGCGAAAGCGUGGGGAGCAAACAGGAUUAGAUACCGCGUAGUCCCUGUCUCUUAUACC